AGUUGAAGCGCUGAAGGUUGGUACUUGUACCGACUGGAUGAGCAGCGAAUUUUGUGAGUAACGCGUGGGGAAUCUGCCUUUGAGCGGGGGACAACAUUUGGAAACGAAUGCUAAUACCGCAUAAAAACUUUAAACACAAGUUUUAAGUUUGAAAGAUGCAAUUGCAUCACUCAAAGAUGAUCCCGCGUUGUAUUAGCUAGUUGGGGAGGGGAAAGCUCACCAAGGCGAUGAUACAUAGCCGACCUGAGAGGGUGAUCGGCCACAUUGGGACUGAGACACGGCCCAAACUCCUACGGGAGGCAGCAGUAGGGAAUCUUCGGCAAUGGACGAAAGUCUGACCGAGCAACGCCGCGUGAGUGAAGAAGGUUUUCGGAUCGUAAAACUCUGUUGGUAGAGAAGAACGUUGGUGAGAGUGGAAAGCUCAUCAAGUGACGGUAACUACCCAGAAAGGGACGGCUAACUACGUGCCAGCAGCCGCGGUAAUACGUAGGUCCCGAGCGUUGUCCGGAUUUAUUGGGCGUAAAGCGAGCGCAGGUGGUUUAUUAAGUCUGGUGUAAAAGGCAGUGGCUCAACCAUUGUAUGCAUUGGAAACUGGUAGACUUGAGUGCAGGAGAGGAGAGUGGAAUUCCAUGUGUAGCGGUGAAAUGCGUAGAUAUAUGGA
rnacentral:rRNA from 1 species